AUUGAACGCUGGCGGCAUGCCUUACACAUGCAAGUCGAACGGUAACAGGGAGCUUGCUCCGCUGACGAGUGGCGAACGGGUGAGUAAUGCGUCGGAACGUGCCGAGUAGUGGGGGAUAACGCAUCGAAAGGUGUGCUAAUACCGCAUACGCACUGAGGUAGAAAGUGGGGGACCUUCGGGCCUCACGCUAUUCGAGCGGCCGACGUCUGAUUAGCUAGUUGGUGAGGUAAAGGCUAACUAAGGCGACGAUCAGUAGCGGGUCGGAGGGGAUGAGCCGCCACACUGGGACUGAGACACGGCCCAGACUCCUACGGGAGGCAGCAGUGGGGAAUUUUGGACAAUGGGCGCAAGCCUGAUCCAGCCAUGCCGCGUGUCUGAAGAAGGCCUUCGGGUCGUAAAGGACUUUUGUCCGGGAGCAAAUGCCUGGUGUUAAUAGCAUCGGGAGCUGAGAGUACCGGAAGAAUAAGCACCGGCUAACUACGUGCCAGCCGCCGCCGUAAAAC
rnacentral:rRNA from 1 species